rnacentral:rRNA from 1 species
UACGGAGGGUGCGAGCGUUGUCCGGAAUCAUUGGGCGUAAAGGGCGCGUAGGCGGCCAUUCAAGUCGGGGGUGAAAGCCUGUGGCUCAACCACAGAAUUGCCUUCGAUACUGUUUGGCUUGAGUUUGGUAGAGGUUGGUGGAACUGCGAGUGUAGAGGUGAAAUUCGUAGAUAUUCGCAAGAACACCAGUGGCGAAGGCGGCCAACUGGACCAAUACUGACGCUGAGGCGCGAAAGCGUGGGGAGCAAACAGG